UGAGGGGCUGGGGCUGGGGCGGGGGUGGGGAGCGGUCUUCUGCCUCACCGACCGGUCCCCGCCUGGUCCCUCUUCCCCAUGCACCCACCCGCACCUCUCCUAGCUCCUCUGCUGCCCGACGGCCGGCAACCGGGCAAACGAGGAAGUGGGCAGCGAGGGCGGAAACCCAGCCCGGCGCAAAGUCUGCGGCAGGGCUGUCCGAUUCUGACUCAGGAGGACGCCCUGACAGCUGCCAAACGGUCCCGCCUGCCCGUUACCUCCGUGCCCCAAAUGUCUGGUAAUUUGCAAAGGAGCCGCUGCCCCCAGCACCCCACCUCAUCCGCACCCGUUCGGCUAGGCCCACGGGACCGCAGCUCCCCGGAAGGGGUUAAAAAGUUUGCCCAACUCGCGCCCGGGCGCGGCGAGGGCGGGGCGCGUGCCCCCGGCGCAGGGGAGGUCGGCUCCCGGGUGCCCCGUCCCGGGAAUGCGCGGGGCGGGAGCUGGGGGCUGGACAGCGUGCCCCGCUCCCUGAGGCCUUGUUCCCGGCGCCCACCCCCUCGAGCUGCCGCGCAGGGCUCCAGGACCCUCGGGGAAGGAUGCGGUGCCCGGGUCCCGGCCGCCCGAACUCGCGCCCGCCUGCGCAGAUCGCCAGCAGCGACCAGGCCGAGAACCACACGUCGGCCCGCUCGCCCCAGACGUCGCGCGUCUCGUCGCCGCCCUAGCCGGCCCGGCCGGGGCGGAACCCGCUGGUGGGGCUCGCUCACCUGAACCUGAAUCUGCCCAGGGGAACAGGCGCUGCUUCUCCCGAAAGGACUUUCUCGAGCGCUCUGGCGGCAGCGGUGUGGGACGAGCACGCGAGGCGGGAGCUGCAGCAGGAAGGGCGUGGGCGGAGCCUCUGAUGGUAGAGGGGUGGGGAUUCAGCCUACCCAUCCAUCCCCAUCACCACCCGCUUCACCUUCCCCCGCGCUUCCUCGGCGGGAGCCCCGCCUCCUAGGGCGGGUCCAACGGACAGCCAGGUUUUAGGACAAAGAUUGACACAGGAUACUGUCCACUACAGGAGGAUAAUUUUUUUAUUUGUUUUUAAAAAUAUUUUACAUGUAUCUUUUAAUCAACCUGGAAUUUAUCUUGUUGGAGAGAGGAAGAAAUAUAACAAUUUUUGUAAUA